AUCUAGUUGACGAGUCCCAAAUAACACGAAACACGCGUCCUGGAU
rfam:Schistosoma mansoni strain Puerto Rico chromosome 3, complete genome